CAAUAGCGUAUAUUAAAGUUGUUGCAGUUAAAAAGCUCGUAGUUGGAUUUCUGGUGGGAGCGAUCGGUCUGGCGCUUAGCGCGAGUACUUGCAUCGUCUCCGGCCAUCCUUGGGGAAAGUCUGUCUGGCAUUAAGUUGUCGGGCAGAGGAUCCUCAUCGUUUACUGUGAAAAAAUUAGAGUGUUCAAAGCAGGCUUAUGCCGUUGAAUAUAUUAGCAUGGAAAAAUAAGAUAGGACUUUGGUACUAUUUUGUUGGUUUGCGCACCAAAGUAAUGAUUAAUAGGGACAGUUGGGGGUAUUCGUAUUCCGUUGUCAGAGGUGAAAUUCUUGGAUUUACGGAAGACGAACUACUGCGAAAGCAUUUACCAAGGAUGUUUUCAUUAA
rnacentral:rRNA from 1 species